rnacentral:rRNA from 1 species
UACGUAGGGCGCAAGCGUUGUCCGGAAUUAUUGGGCGUAAAGAGCUCGUAGGCGGUCUGUCGCGUCUGCUGUGAAAACUCAGGGCUUAACCCUGAGCUUGCAGUGGGUACGGGCAGACUAGAGUGCGGUAGGGGAGACUGGAAUUCCUGGUGUAGCGGUGAAAUGCGCAGAUAUCAGGAGGAACACCGGUGGCGAAGGCGGGUCUCUGGGCCGAAACUGACGCUGAGGAGCGAAAGCGUGGGGAGCAAACAGG